AACUUACUCCCUCCGUUCGGAAUUACUUGUUGCACGAAUGGAUGUAUCUAGACGUAUUUUAGUUCUAGAUACAUCCAUUUUCGAGACAAAUAAUUCCAAGCGGAUGGAGUACAAC
rfam:Triticum aestivum genome assembly, contig: Triticum_aestivum_CS42_TGACv1_scaffold_148927_2BS